rnacentral:misc_RNA from 1 species
GCUGUGUGUUGGGUGGGGGUAUACAAACAAACACACACAAACCAUGAUCUGAUCCUCUAUUAAUCAGGAUGGGAAAAACUAGGAAAUUAUAAAUGCAGUUAUUUAACCACCAAAAAAUAAAUUCAAUUCACUUGUUUAUUACAAGUCAAUCCACUACAUUCACAACGACAUUGACAAGAAAAUCUUUCCUUUUAUUAAGCUUCAAGCUUUCUACUGAUUAAGCUUCCAAUAUUAAUUAAAAAGAAAAUGAUAUUGUCUCCAAUAAUCAGCUACCAAUAACUAAAUGGUGAUGGAGAAUAAAAACAUGAUUGAAAUCUAUCAUUUAUGCUGGCUUUGUCACUGUUUACAUCUAUAUAAGCAUAUUCCACCAAAACAUCUAGCACAAGUCAUGCAUUCUAGGUACCAAGCACGAUAAUCAGUCACUAGGAUCUGAACCAUUUGGUUUCACUAAUAUCAGUAAUCAACUGAACUAAAUAUAGCAGGAGCAGGAAGGCAAGGAGACAAA